UCUACAUAUCAAUAAGCGGAGGAAAAGAAACUAACAAGGAUUCCCCUAGUAACGGCGAGUGAAGAGGGAAAAGCUCAAAUUUAAAAGCUGUUGUCUUUCAGGCAACCGCAUUGUAAUCUCAAGAAGUGUUUUCGAUUGUAGCCUGCGUAUAAGUACCUUGGAAUAGGUUGGCAUAGAGGGUGAAACUCCCGUCUUUGAUGCAGAUUACUAUGAUCAUGUGAUACACUUUCUAAGAGUCGAGUUGUUUGGGAAUGCAGCUCAAAAUGGGUGGUAAAUUCCAUCUAAAGCUAAAUAUUGGCCUGAGACCGAUAGCGAACAAGUACCGUGAGGGAAAGAUGAAAAGCACUUUGGAAAGAGAGUCAAACAGAACGUGAAAUUGCUGAAAGGGAAGCGUUUGAAGUUAGUCUGAUAGGAGUUGUUCAAUUGUUACUUUGGUUUCAAUGUAUGCAACUUUUUAUCGGUCAACAUCAAUUUUGAUUGAUGGAUAAAGGUAAUAGGAAUGUGGCUACAAUUUGUAGUGUUAUAGCCUAUUAUCAUAAACAUUGAUUGAGAUUGAGGACGGCAGUGUACCUUUUAGGAAGGUGUUCGCACCUAUUACACUAAGGAUGUUGACAAAAUAGCUUUAAGCGACCCGUCUUGAAACACGGACCAAGGAGUCUAACAUAUCUGCGAGUAUUUGAGUGACAAACUCGAAUGCGUAAUGAAAGUGAAUGUAGGUGUGAAGCGUAAGCUGCAACAUCGACCGAUCUGGAAUUUUUAUAAUGAUGGAUUUGAGUAAGAGCAUAUAUGUUGGGACCCGAAAGAUGGUGAACUAUGCCUGAAUAGGGUGAAGCCAGAGGAAACUCUGGUGGAGGCUCGUAGCGGUUCUGACGUGCAAAUCGAUCGUCAAAUUUGGGUAUAGGGGCGAAAGACUAAUCGAACCAUCUAGUAGCUGGUUCCUGCGA
rnacentral:rRNA from 1 species